ACCGUCGGCUGACGAAGGAGCCGGAACAGUAAUCAAAUUUCUGACAAGAGAGGUUAUUCCUAGAUUCGGAAUACCAUCAGAAAUAAGUUCAGAUAAUGGAUCAGCGUUCAUUCAAAAAACAGUAAAACAAGUACUACAACAUUUAAGAAUAAAGCAAAGAUUGGGAUGUGUUUAUCAUCCACAAUCUCAAGGGAUGGUUGAAAAAGCCAAUGGAAUCAUUAAGGCAAAACUCAAUAAAAUAUGUGCUAGUACUAAACUUAACUGGAUUGAUGCUUUACCUCUUGCACUAAUGAGCUAUCGCAUGCAAACUAACAGAACUACACAUCUAACACCGCAUGAAAUGCUUACAGGUCGACCUAUGCCCGCUCCACACUGCAGAGGUCCAUAUUCUGGGCCUCCAUUAGAGCAAUUGCAAAUGGAAUUAAGGUCAUACAUGAAAAAGCUAACUGCUAUCCAUAAAGCUAUUUUUGUGCAGGAAAAGAGAAAGCAGCCUAGUGAGGAGACGGAGACCACAUGUCCAAUUGUCCCAGGGGACCAAGUCUAUCUGAGGGUUUUCAGGGGGAAAUGGAACGAAGCCAGAAGGGAAGGACCAUAUAAAGUGGUGGCCUCUACCCCAACAGCAGUCCGAGUGGAAGGCAGCAACACGUGGUACCACUUAAACCACUGCACUAAAGCUCAUAAAGAAAAAACAGUGACUGGAGAGGACAGCCUUGGAACAACCAGCCAAGAAACUUCUGCUAAAAGCAAUGAGGCACAAGAUGCGGCAUCAGGAAAUGACCAUGGACAGAACACAUCUGACGACAUGCCUGAUCAUCAUAUGCUUGUGGCCAGUUCAUGCUUUAAACAACACCACGACUCCGCCUCCAGUUAUUCAGGCCCAGAAUCACACCACCCUGCCAUUGACUUCAACACCUGUAACUCCAAUGCUGAACCACACUUCCCUGUCAUCAACUUCACUUUCAACCACACAGCCUUUUAAUCUUACAACUUUUAAAGCAACGGAGCGUGCAACCGCACAGACUCUGAACCAUACCUCCUUUACAUCAACUACAUUUGCAACCACACAGACUCUGAACCAUACCUCCUUUAUAACAACUACGUUUGCAACCAUACAAACUUUGAACUCUACAUCCAUUACGUCUACAACGUUUGCAACCACACAAACUCUGAACUUUACAUCCCUUACGUUAACAGCGCUUGCACCCACACAGACUUUGAAUCACACAUCCCGUAUGUCAACGCCAUAUACAAACACAGAGACUUUGACGAACACAUCCCUUAAGUCUUUAACGUUACUACCGUCAACACAAACGCCUAACCAUACAUACUUGCCAUUGAUUGUUGAACCCUCAAAAGGACUGAGGAACAAUACAAUCUCAAAUACAACUGAACUAACAUGGAGAGGAAAACAACGUAGAGAUAUUGAGGACGAUUACAGUAUGUACGGAGAAGAUACCCAACUAGACAUUUUAUGGGAAACAGCAAAAAGUAAUCAAUGGUAUGAAUGGGCAACUUUUACAGCAACAGAUUUACAAGAAAAAAACUGUUUGUUUUGUGCUAAAUCACCUGCAAGUCAAGUAAUAAUAGUGCCAAAUCCAUUUGAUUUUGAAAAAUGUGCUGAGAUUAAUAGACUCCAUUGUAAUGUGAAACUGUACAAACCUAUUUGUCCAGCAGAAUGUUUAGGUUCACUAAGUAAUAGCAAAGAAAGACUUAUGUAUCGACACAUACGAUCAUUAGCAGCUAGAUGUCGAGGUAUCGGUGUAUCAAAAAUUAUGCAAAUACAAAAUGAUCAAAUAGAAAUCCCACAAUGGUACAUCAUAGAUUAUAGUAAGGAAUAUGAGUGCUUUGUAAAAACCACAGGGAAUAUUAAUAUGGGUAAAUUUAAAGGAAAAUGCAAAGUAAUUUGGACUUUAGAUAAGACAAAAAUUCGACACGUCAGCGAUACCUUAGAUCUCCCACCUAUGAGGUCAUCAGGAAUAAGAAAUGGGAAGAUAAUAAUUCCAGAAAAAACCUGUGAAAAUCAAAGUACAGCAUUCCCCGAUGUAGACACCUUUACUGAUCAAACACAAGCAAUAGCAGAUUUUUUCUGGAUUUGCGGACAUAGAAAACUUUUACCUUCUUUGCCUUUAGGAUGGAAAGGAAAAUGUACAAGAGUACGACUAAUACAGGAGAUUCAUAUAAUGGAAUGGGAUUUUGAUUACAAGUCAGAACCAAAGGACACAAGUAACCGUAGAGUUAAGAGAGGUUACGAAUCAGAUCCUACAGUAUACAUCGACGCAAUAGGUCAACCCAGAGGUAUACCAAAUCAAUUUAAGGCCCGAGAUGAAGUUAAAGCAGGUUUUGAGUCAAUAUUCAUUUGGAUUUCACAAAAUAAAAAUACAGAAUGGAUCAAUUAUAUAUACUACAACCAGCAGAGAUUCAUUAACCACACCAAUGAAGCUUUAACUUCACUUGGAGAGCAACUAGAUGCAACCAGUAAAAUGACAUGGCAAAAUAGACUCGCGCUUAAUUGGAUAUUAGCGGAUAAAGGAGGAGUGUGUAUUUUAUUUUCUAAUUACUGCUGUACUUUCAUACCUAAUAAUACAGCACCAGAAGGUACGUUUACAAAAGCUAUGACCAAACUCAAAGAGUUACAGAUUGAAAUGGCAACUAAUGCCGGAAGGGAUGAGAAAAUGUGGGAUUGGUUCGAUUUAAAACUAGGAGCAUGGGGAGCUUGGUUAGCAAAAUUAGGAAUAUUUGUAGGAGUAGCGAUCGGCAUCGGAGGAUUAUUAUUUUGUUGUGUCAUACCGUUAUUAAAAUCCCUCGUUAUCAAAGCUACUGUUAAACAAAUGGAAAUGACAACUUAUCAGGAUGAUAAAAAACUAAAGGCACAAAAUGAUCAGUCCAUGCUUUACCAGGACUUACUUUACAGAACAGUAAUGAACCUACAGUUAGUAAAUGAAUAUUCAAGCACCUCUGAGGAGGAUGAAAACGAGGAAUAAAAGCAAAUCUCAAGCGCAUGUAGGUUAAGUAUAAUCAAAACGUAUUACACGAAUCUUACUUAAAAUUUAUUAUUAGGUAGUACUUUUGUUUUAUUGAUUUGAGUUUACUUUUUGUUUUGGGUUUAUAUGUAUGCUUAGCUUUAGUUUAUAUUGGGUUUUAUAUGUAUGCAUAGCUUUAGUUCAUAUUGGGGAAUUUUAUAUACACUUGUGUUAUUCAAUUUAAUUUACAUGUCUCUCGUGUUUAUCAUGCAUACAUAACUUAGAUUGUAGUAUCAAUUAUUUCAAUUUACUUAUUUUAUUUGGUUUGAUUUAAAUUUACAUUUUACUUUAUGGUUAUCAUACAUACUUAGUUUUGUUGAUUAUUUCUGGUUACUUAUUUUUUGAUUUAACUUUAUAUUUACCUUAUAAUUAUUAUAAUUAUUAUGCAUGCUUUACUUAAUUUUGUUUAUUUCUACUUACUUGGUUUGAUUUUACUUUACAUUUAUUUGUUCUCUAUACAUACUUUAUUUUUGUUUUAAUUACUUACUAUAUUAUUGCUUUUCAUUUGCCAACAUUUAUAUAUACGGUAUGAUUAACAUAUAUUUUGUACCAUGUAUUUACCCAGUUUUACCACAUAUGUUCAAUAUAACUACAACAGCCGCAGACAAGUGCAGAACCAAUUGCACACAACCUGUUUAUGUAGGACUUAAGUUCUUUUACUUUUACAUUCAAAGACAAGAUAAGAAUGGAAAGAUGUUUGCUCUUAUUGUCCAUAGUUCGAAGUGCAGUGGCAUAAUUUAGUAAUUGGUAAUGUAUAGUGGUUUUCUUUAACCACAAUAUAUAGGGAUAACUGAGAAACUGAAUUAUGAAACGGCACUCCGGAUUAAAAUAAAUAAACAGGAAAGUGAGGCUAGGUAAGCCUCAGAGCGGGGAUUAUGAAGAAGUUUGUUUUAAUCCGAAUAUAAAGGAAUUAAGUAUAAUCUUACUUUACCAUUAUGUUUUUCUAUAUGAAUAUAACCAUAGUUCACCAUUGUGUGUAUGAAAUUUACCAGCAUGCAUUGCAGUAUGUUCUUAUACAUGGCGAAGGUUGUUACAUGUCGAAGGCCGAGACAAAAGACGUACUGUACUCUUGACAAAGUGAUGCCAUAUGUUUUCCAUAUGAUACAAACCAUAUGUUACUGAAUAUUAGACCAUAUAUGGAGUACAUGGGGUGGGGAGGCCCCCUUAUAUAUAUACCACUUGGGGUACAGUAAAACUUUAGUGGAUCUUGCAAGAUCUCCUCACGGCUUUAUUUUGCUGACAAUAAAGUCCAUCUUUGAAUUCAAAACCUAAGAUUGAAGAUUGUUUCAUCUGAAAAAGGGAAACCACAACACUGCCUCAUUUGUUUGUCAUUUUGGUUAAUCACAACUAAACUGAACUGUAUGGAAGCUUAUGUGUAGCAAUAUUCAAUUUGAAAUGUAAUAUGCAAAAUGGCAAUGCAUUUCUGUAUUUAAAUUUUAAUUUUCCAAUACAUUUGUGCAAUGUGUGGUGCAAAAUGAAAAUUCAAUAAUAUAUUUACAUUUGCCAUUUCAUACACUAAUUUUAAUAUGUAAAUUGAAUAAUAAUUUUAACGCUUUAUAAGUUGCAAAAUUAAAAUGUAUUACAUACAGUAUAGUAUCGUAUACUGUAGUGUACAAUAGACAAUAAAUAUUAACACAACAACAUUGAUAUGAGUAAAGAGUAGUUUCAAAUACAACAUGUGUGGCUAUAAGGGAUUUUCUGACAUCUGUUAUAUAUUCUUACAGGUAUGAAGAAUACCAGAUGAACAAAAGCAUCGUAGAUGAUUCACAACAGCCUUCAAUCUCACAAUUCCUGGACACUCGUGUAGGGCGUUACAGCAUGAGCCACCCACAGCAGAAGGCCAACUCCAAUGCGAUACUGUCUGACCUGAUUAUUGACUGCAAUUUUUCUCUGUCAAUUGUGGAAAAUAAGAGCUUUCGUCACUUUCUGGCUGUGCUGGAGAGCAAGUAUACCCCAGUCUGUCGCCAAACGCUGACCACAAAAACAGAGAGCCUUGCUGAGGAGAGACGUUCAAAGUUAAAAACUGAAUUGAGCAACACUGACCAUGUUUCAGUCACUGUGGACAUUUGAUCUGAUCGAAAGAUGAGGGGAUUCCUUGGUGUCACUGUGCACUGGAUGGAGAGAACUGUCAUUCACACCAUGAGAGUGGAAUCUGCUGAAGGAGUUGGUGGACAUUUUGAAACCUUUCGGAGAAGCAACUGAUUUGACACAGGGAGAUAAAGUCAUAACAAUCAGUGCAGUUGUUCCAUCUGUCUUGUCCCUCAAUCACCAUCUUGAGAAGCUGAAGCCUCAAGUUCGUUUCCUGAGCGGCCUGGUCAAAGGUUUGCAGGUAUCCCUGAAAAAAAGAUUUCUUGGGAUCUUCAUUAAUGUGAAAAUGGCCCAGUCUCAAGAAGGGAUCACUGCCCCCUUUUCAGAUACAGUCUAUCUGAAAGCAGCUGCCUUGGAUCCAGCCUUUUGUCUGCUGUGGAUUGAGCCCCAUGUGCUGGCCAACCGUGACAUCAAGGCAGAGGUGGCACAACGAGUUAAAGAAUUGAUCCUGCAAGAUGCGGCAGAGAUGGAGCAUCCUGUGCCUGUGUCGCUGCCUGCUGAAGAAGAACCAGAGGACAUGGACGGAGAAGGGCUGUUUGCUGCAUACCAUAAGAGGCAGAAAAGGGAUGUUGGGACCCCACCAGCAGUACAGCUAAGUCACUAUAUUGACAUGGCAGAAGGACAGAAUGCCCUUUUGUUCUGGGCACUGAACAGUAAGACUCUUCCUGCCCUCUUUCAUGUAGCCAUCCGAGUCUUGUCAGUGCCUGCUUCUAGUGCUCCAGUGGAGCGAGUUUUCAGCCAUGGUGGCAUCAUUCUGCAUCCACAUCGCGCACAAAUGACUGACAGACUUUUGGCCAAUGUGAUAUUUUGCAAAUGCAAUGCAGUGUAGGGGCCUCCCUCCACCUGUCCACAGCACGCAUGCGCACACACACUCACUCUCUGCUCAUCACCUGUCCACACAUUCUCUCUCUCUCUCUCUCUCUCUCUCUCUCUCUCUCUCUCUCUCUCUCUCACACACACACAAACACACACACACAAUCACGUUGGUUCAGUUUUUCAGUAAUAAUUUUGAGGAUUUUAUUGAUAACAUGUUUAAGUUAGCCCUAAGUUUAGGCUAAAAGGACCCAUGUCUAUUUGAAAGUUAAACUGUUAUAUGAGGCAAUAUGAGGUCAAAACAAUACAUGACUGAAGCUGCUGUGCAUUGUUCUAGUGCAAUAUGCUGUUGAAAUGCAAGCAUUUUUUGUAAAAAUUUUAAUUUGAAUUUUUUUACUGUAUUUGAUUACUGUAAGUGUAUAAAAAGAGGUUUAAAUAAAUACAAAUCUUACAGACAUACAUGAUUUGUAUAAAUUUUAUUUCUGUAGUAAGAUGACUUGAAAUGACUCGAAACUAAAAUGGUAGGACUUUGGACUCAACUUUAGACUUGUUGGCUUUGACUUCUGACUCGACUCGGGACUUGCCUCAUCUUUGACUCGACUUGACUCGGGACUCGAGGGCAAAGACUUGAGACUUACUUGUGACUUGCAUAACAAUGACUUUGUCCCACCUCUGGUCUAUAGUAAAUCAUACACUAGUAAUAAAUAAGAAUAACUAUACUCCAAGUAGUAUUAAAAGCAAAGGGAAAACUGUUUACCAUUAGAUUCAGGCAUAAUACAUUUUUUUAUUGUGCCACCCUAAGAUUUGUACUGGCCCCUUUGUGCCCCCCAAUAAAACAAUAAUGGGGGCGCCGGGUAAUCUGAAGCGCAUGGCCGCAUAAUCGCGCCAUCCCGUUUGGUCGGUGUUUAUUCCCCAAUUAAUAUAUAUUCAUGACUUAAAUUUUGUUUAAUCUGGUGAUGGAAGGGGACAAAAGUAGUAAAGGCAAAGGUAAGCAGCCCAGGAAAACGGAGAAGAGUGAUAAUACGUCGAUCGCGAAUGUCGUGUCUGAGGAGCAAGCAGAGCCUCAUGGUCUGAGCACGAGACUAACGAAUGUGGAUAUGGAUGACAAUAUCGCUGUCAUUCGAUCAGAUAUAAAGAUGAUGACUACAGAGAUGAAGUCUGAGCUGAGUCAUUUUCGAGACAAAAUCAGAGAUGACAUGAAAAAGGAGUUAGCGGACUUUCGGGAGGAAGUUCAGCGGGGUCUAAAUGAGGUUGCAGCUGAGCUAAAAUCCACCACAGACAGGGUGAGUGAGGCUGAGGCCCGGAUAGCCGAUGUGGAAGAAUGGUCUGUGGAUUUCAGAGAGGCUUUGAGUCUAUAGGUGUGUUCGACAUCUGCUGUGGCUGGAUGUAACCGAUCGGCGAGAUUAGCCGCGUGCAGGCGGGGAGGAGCUGAAAACGGAGACGUGAAGUCGGAUGCGCUGUGGUUCCUGUAGUUUGCUGCAUUUACAUCAGGCAUGGCUGAUCACGUGCCGUUUGCUUGCUUAAACGCAUUAAACAUGAUUUGUAACAUGUAAACUACAUAAAAAGUGAAUUAUACUGUUUUGGAUGUCCGUGUAUGAGCAUGAGUGGAACUGAAGAGGCUUACAGCAUCUGUUUUUACAAGAAUAAAGUUUAACAAAAGCAUAUAUUUUUUAAAUACCAAUGUAGUGGGGUCUACGUUUUUUAUCCAUUUUAUUUUGAUGAAGAUGGCACAAUAUA